GCAGUGCCCGCCCCUUCCGGCCGUGCCUCCCGCGAGCUUGGAGCGGAGGCUCGCGUUGUAGGAAUGAAGGAAGGAGUGUUAGGCCCUGAGGCUGGGGCGCUGGCCCGAAUGAGAUAAGGCCAUUGUCCUUGGUCCUGCGGGAAGCUUAAAAGUGGGGCCUGCUGCCGAGUGCCUGUUCCUGCCCCACACCCGCGUGGAGAUCCCCUAGACCUGCUCCCCCUUACUGUCCUCCAUGUCAUUUUACCUACACGCGUUACUGUUAUGACUUAA